AUUGAACGCUGGCGGCGUGCUUUACACAUGCAAGUCGAGCGGCAGCAUGUAUAUUAGAAAUAGUAUAUGAUGGCGAGCGGCGGACGGGUGAGUAAGACAUCGGAACGUGCCAAUUAGUGGUGGAUAACGCAUCGAAAGAUGUGCUAAUACAGCAUAAUCUCUGAGGAGGAAAGGUGGGGAGCCUGUGAUGGGCCCCGUCGCUAUAAGAGCGGCCGAUGGUCGAUUAGCUAGUUGGAGAGGUAAAAGCUCACCAAGGCGAUGAUCGAUAGCUGUUCUGAGAGGAAGAUCAGCCACACUGGGACUGAGACACGGCCCAGACUCCUACGGGAGGCAGCAGUGGGGAAUUUUGGACAAUGGGGGCAACCCUGAUCCAGCAACGCCGCGUGAAUGAAGAAGGCCUUAGGGUUGUAAAGUUCUUUUGUCAGGGAAGAAAAGUAUAUAGUUAAAAGCUGUAUAUGCUGACGGUACCUGAAGAAUAAGCACCGGCUAACUACGUGCCAGCAGCCGCCGCCG
rnacentral:rRNA from 1 species